rnacentral:rRNA from 1 species
CCUACGAGUGGCUGCAGUCGAGAAUCAUUCACAAUGGGGGAAACCCUGAUGGUGCGACGCCGCGUUGGGGAAUGAAGGUCUUCGGAUUGUAAACCCCUGUCAUGUGGGAGCAAAUUAAAAAGAUAGUACCACAAGAGGAAGAGACGGCUAACUCUGUGCCAGCCGCCGCGGUAAUCCAGAGGUCUCAAGCGUUGUUCGGAAUCACUGGGCGUAAAGCGUGCGUCGGCUGUUUCGUAAGUCGUGUGUGAAAGGCGCGGGCUCAACCCGCGGACGGCACAUGAUACUGCGAGACUAGAGUAAUGGAGGGGGAACCGGAAUUCUCGGUGUAGCAGUGAAAUGCGUAGAUAUCGAGAGGAACACUCGUGGCGAAGGCGGGUUCCUGGACAUUAACUGACGCUGAGGCACGAAGGCCAGGGGAGCGAAAGGGAUUAGAUACCCCGGUAGUC